UACGGAGGGUGCAAGCGUUGUCCGGAUUUAUUGGGUUUAAAGGGUGCGUAGGUGGCGCGCUAAGUCAGGUGUGAAAUUUCGGAGCUUAACUCCGAAACUGCAUUUGAUACUGGCGUGCUUGAGGACUGGAGAGGAGACUGGAAUUUACGGUGUAGCAGUGAAAUGCGUAGAGAUCGUAAGGAAGACCAGUGGCGAAGGCGGGUCUCUGGACAGUUCCUGACACUGAGGCACGAAGGCCAGGGGAGCAAACGGG
rnacentral:rRNA from 1 species